rnacentral:piRNA from 1 species
UGAGAAAUGGCAUUCCCUAUGCCAAGUGU